GUGCUUGCUUCGGCAGCACAUAUACUAAAAUUGGAAAGAUACAGAGAAGCUUAGCACGGCCCAUGUGCAAGGAUGACACGCAAAUUCGUGAAGCAUUCCAUAUUAAA
rnacentral:snRNA from 1 species